rnacentral:rRNA from 1 species
AGUGAACGCUGGCGGUAGGCCUAACACAUGCAAGUCGAACGGCAGCACAGUAAGAGCUUGCUCUUACGGGUGGCGAGUGGCGGACGGGUGAGGAAUACAUCGGAAUCUACUUUUUCGUGGGGGAUAACGUAGGGAAACUUACGCUAAUACCGCAUACGAUCUACGGGUGAAAGCAGGGGAUCUUCGGACCUUGCGCGAUUGAAUGAGCCGAGGUCGGAUUAGCUAGUUGGCGGGGUAAAGGCCCACCAAGGCGAGGAUCCGUAGCUGGUCUGAGAGGAUGAUCAGCCACACUGGAACUGAGACACGGUCCAGACUCCUACGGGAGGCAGCAGUGGGGAAUAUUGGACAAUGGGCGCAAGCCUGAUCCAGCCAUACCGCGUGGGUGAAGAAGGCCUUCGGGUUGUAAAGCCCUUUUGUUGGGAAAGAAAAGCAGCAGGUUAAUACCCCGCUGUUCUGACGGUACCCAAAGAAUAAGCACCGGCUAACUUCGUG